rnacentral:rRNA from 1 species
AAACCAUUUCUUUUGGUCAUUUUUGACCAUGGAAAGGAUUUUGGACUUGGAGGCCUUUUGCUGGUUUCACCUUGAAGCGAGCUCCUCCCAAAUGUAUUAGUGGGGUCUGCAUUGUCGGUCCUUGGCGUGAUAAGUUGUUUUUACGUCUUGGAUUUUUGGCGCUGUGCUCCUGCUUCUAACCGUCUCAUUGACAACGAUGGUGUUCCGGUCGCCGCCGAUUUUUCGGUGGGAGGCUUGACCCACAAAACAAACCUUGACCUCAAAUCGGGUGAGACUACCCGCUGAACUUAAGCAUAUCAAUAAGCGGAGGAAAAGAAACUAACAAGGAUUCCCCUAGUAACUGCGAGUGAAGCGGGAAAAGCUCAAAUUUAAAAUCUGG